rnacentral:misc_RNA from 1 species
UCUUUAAUUAAUCCCAUAUGUUCUGUUAAUUCGUUUACGAGUUUCUCGUUUCUCGCGGACCUCCACGGGUUCAAUUGACCGCGUAAAUGAAGACUAUACUGUACAGAUCAAAUUGUAGUUCAUUGACCCUUGAGAGCUUGAGAUCCUUUAUAGACAUUACAGCUACAUUAUCCUCUAACCACCUGGUAAUGGGUAAUUGUUUAUUGUUACACUGAUUGAAGAAAUAAGAACACUUAAUAGCCUUAAUAGACCUGCAACUGUUUCUGUAGAAACCUUGAAAUUAUUUUCUCUCCCAACAUAUUAAGACCCAACCCACUUCAGUAUAUAGGCGAGGAAUCACCAAAACCACUGGAUCUCUCCAUACCUAGUGAUGAAGGAAUGACUGCCAACUUGGAGUAUUUAAUCCCAAUCUGCACAAGUAAUUGCAUGACACUAUCCUUCAGAUUUCAUUGAUGAAAACCAGUUUAAACUUGAGCUGUUGAUGAUAGGAGCAGUUCAUCUUAUAAAGAUCUUGCAGUCUGAUUUAUAUCCAAGAUGCCAGUUGUCAAUCCAGCAGAAAGUCUGCUCAAGCUUUCUCUUCAAGCUGUCUGCAGUAAUGUAAAGGUGAUGGUUACCAGAGCUGCCGACUUUACUGAAUCUGCUGAUGCUGUUUUACAGGUGGCAGAGGAACAAGUCCAUAAGUUACUUCUGAGCCAGACACAAAAUAGAGUACUGUACAAGCCCAUAAUAAUGGCUCCUAAAGUAGAU